GACAGAGGGUGCGAACGUUGUUCGGAAUUACUGGGCGUAAAGCGCAUGUAGGCGGCAGCGCAAGUCGGGCGUGAAAUCCCACGGCUCAACCGUGGAAGUGCACUCGAAACUGCGCAGCUAGAGUCCUGGAGAGGAAGGUGGAAUGUUUGGUGUAGAGGUGAAAUUCGUAGAUAUCAAGCGGAACACCGGUGGCGAAGGCGGCCUUCUGGACAGUGACUGACGCUGAGAUGCGAAAGCGUGGGGAGCAAACAGG
rnacentral:rRNA from 1 species